UGAUCCAGGAGGGCAGGAGUUGGAGUCCAGCAACACCUGGGGGGCUGCAACAACUUGACGGUUCUGUGACAGUGCUCACAUGUGGAACGAGUUAGCCAUCUCAAUCUGCCUGCACAGUGACUGUCUCAGCCUUGGACCAGGGACUCCACCGCAUUUUAACGUAUUAUUUGAAUUGGUCUUUAUUGGACAAAAAAUAAUAAUGGGGAGGGGUGGCGGUUCUUAUCCAGGGGAUGUCCACCUCGCAUCUUCCUGUAAGGCUAUUUCAGCAACGGAGAAGGCAGAUACUUGUGGAAGCCAUUUGUGCACCGGGAAAACUGAUAGCUGCACUUGCCCAAGUUGACCGAGGGAGGGUGGUGGCGGCAGUGCAAGUUGAAGCCACCCCCCCAGUCCAUUUGAACUUUGAAGAUGUGCUGUGUGCAUUGCUCCCCCCCACCUAAUCCCCCCCCAUUCACCUACCUACCUACCUACCUACCUCCUGGGCGAAACCCCUUCACUUGAAUUACCGUAAGCCAGUUUACACACUGCAACUUUGUCCGUGUUCCCUAAUUUGUCAGUUCACUAAUCAUGGAUUCCUUAGAGGGGUUCAGGGGCUUCUUCCACUCUCUGCACUUCUGGCCAUUUUUCCAUUUCUGAGUGGGGUAUAGAUCGGGAUCACAGUCUUAAAAAAAAUUAUGGGAUCACAGUCGUAACCCCCCCCAAAAAAAACCCUCCUACUUACUCUUCCACUCUGGUUUUCAUAAGGCUUGCUUCUUGGGGCUGCAUAAAUUUGCAACAAUUGUGGUAUGCUUGAACCGGACGACUGGCAGGGGUUGCCUGCACCUAGGCAUUGUUCUUGGCCAAAAAAUAAAAAAUGCAAGGGUUUCACUAUAGACUUGAUGGGCAUGCAGACAGAUUUAAUUUUUGCACUUAAAAAUUGAUGUCAGGGAUCCUGACAGAGGAAGCCUUCUGCUUGCAGAUGUGUAUGGGUCUCUCUGGGUUCAUCUCCUCUUAAGAGGCUUUUAAAUGGUUUUUCCCCCCUGUUCUUGAGAUAGGCAGCUGAAGGUUCCUGGCUCCACCUUAUGCUAGGAGUUGAGGCUUCAUCGCCAUGGCACCUUAGCCCAGGUCUUUUUCACUUUUAAAAGGCUGCUGAUGGUUCAGGAUGGUCAGUGUAUAUAUAGCUUGAUGAGGAAAUUAAACAUAGAGAUCCCUGGAUACAGGUAAUGAAGGAAUCUCCAAGCCAGUGACCAUCAGAGAAUUAAAAAGCCCAGGCUGAGUACAGCGCAGUAUGGAUGUGUAUCUUGAGUAGCUCAGACUUGCACCCGCUAUGCUGCCAACAGCUUGUAUGGGGGUGGGGGUGGGGUUAGGGAGAACCUUUCCACUGCUCAGGGUUUAUCAAGCUGAGAAAUGGGCAUGAGGGUCUCCCCUUGGGAACGGCAUUAUGUGAUAAAAAAUUCCAAUGGAAUGAAAUGUGACAGACUCAGAUGAAUGUCUUGGGGGGGGGGAGCUAAAUAGUAAUUUAAGGUUCUGGCAUCUUCCCCUUUCAGUCUUUCCCUGUGGAAAAAAGGACUUUCCCUUAGCGCUUGCUUUUGUCAACUUUUGAAUGCAACAAUUUGUGGCCUUGUCUUUUAUCACCUUCCUUGCCCCACCCCAACCUCCAAGUCCAAUUUCCACCUGGAGUUAGGAAAACCAAACCUGGCUGGUGGCAUAGGGAAGAGGGAGAGGAAGUGUUAAUGUCUCACUGCCAGGCACCAGCAGGAAGGUGAGGGCGGAACACCCUGAACAUUACUUAGGUUAGAACAAGCUGGGUCCCUUCGCCUUCUCUGCUCACCCCUUGUCCAUCUGCAUUCAGUUUCCUUUCUCCCUGGGCACCAGGAGUUUCUCAUUUCAUCCUUGCCAUUUUACUAGGAAGGAGAGCAGGCUGUGAACUCACGGGCAGGUAAUGGCUGCCCACCUGAGGCAGGAAGGGGCAGUAACUAGGCAGGGGGUGGAGAAAUCUCUGAAUGCUUUUUCAGUCAUGUUUUGGGGUGGCAGUGAGGAGCUCCACGAGGUGGGUUUUGAUGGGAAGCUGAGCUGCUUUGUCUCCCCACCCUGACCCCAGCCGACCACCAUUCUUUACUGCUUAGCAGUCACUGCCCUCUAGGCUGUGAAACCUUUGUUCACCUUUGUGCAGGUGCUGGACCAAACCCUCCAAAAUGGAGCCCAAGCUCACAUGCCCCUGCUCCCCCAACACAUGGGCUCCUCUGUACCUGAGGCCUUCUCUGUGGGUGGAUUGUUGUAACCCCCAGAUUGUUUAGAUUAAAAGAAAUAGGAACUGUGUAGAUAUUUAAAGGACUAGAAAAAAAAAUAUUUAAGGAUGAUUGUGAAAUUCUGCACCUUUGUAUAUGUUGGAAAGUUCCACUGCUGUGUGAUGGGCUGGACUUUUAACUUAUUAAAUGGAAUUGGAACCA